UGGGGAAUAUUGCACAAUGGGGGAAACCCUGAUGCAGCGACGCCGCGUGAACGAAGAAGGUAUUCGUAUCGUAAAGUUCUGUCCUAUGGGAAGAUAAUGACAGUACCAUAGAAGAAAGCUCCGGCUAAAUACGUGCCAGCAGCCGCGGUAAUACGUAUGGAGCGAGCGUUGUCCGGAAUUAUUGGGCGUAAAGGGUACGCAGGCGGUUUAAUAAGUCGAAUGUUAAAGAUCGGGGCUCAACCCCGUAAAGCAGUGGAAACUGAUAAACUUGAGUAGUGGAGAGGAAAGUGGAAUUCCUAGUGUAGUGGUGAAAUACGUAGAUAGUAGGAGGAAUACCAGUAGCGAAGGCGACUUUCUGGACACAAACUGACGCUGAGGUACGAAAGCGUGGGGAGCAAACAGG
rnacentral:rRNA from 1 species